CCUACGGGAGGCUGCAGUGGGGAAUAUUGGACAAUGGGGGCAACCCUGAUCCAGCCAUGCCGCGUGUGUGAAGAAGGCCCUCGGGUUGUAAAGCACUUUCAGUGAGGAAGAACGCCUGGUGGUUAAUACCCAUCAGGAAAGACAUCACUCACAGAAGAAGCACCGGCUAACUCCGUGCCAGCAGCCGCGGUAAUACGGAGGGUGCGAGCGUUAAUCGGAAUUACUGGGCGUAAAGCGCGCGUAGGUGGCUUGAUAAGCCGGUUGUGAAAGCCCCGGGCUCAAACUGGGAACGGCAUCCGGAACUGUCAAGCUAGAGUGCAGGAGAGGAAGGUAGAAUUCCCGGUGUAGCGGUGAAAUGCGUAGAGAUCGGGAGGAAUACCAGUGGCGAAGGCGGCCUUCUGGACUGACACUGACACUGAGGUGCGAAAGCGUGGGUAGCAAACAGGAUUAGAUACCCCGGUAGUC
rnacentral:rRNA from 1 species